rnacentral:rRNA from 1 species
UACACAUGCAAGUCGAACGGCAGCACGGGGGCAACCCUGGUGGCGAGUGGCGAACGGGUGAGUAAAGCAUCGGAACGUGCCCUGGAGUGGGGGAUAACGUAGCGAAAGUUACGCUAAUACCGCAUAUCCUGUGAGCAGGAAAGCAGGGGAUCGCAAGACCUUGCGCUUUGGGAGCGGCCGAUGUCGGAUUAGCUAAUUGGUGGGGUAAAGGCCUACCAAGGCGACGAUCCGUAGCGGGUCUGAGAGGAUGAUCCGCCACACUGGGACUGAGACACGGCCCAGACUCCUACGGGAGGCAGCAGUGGGGAAUUUUGGACAAUGGGCGAAAGCCUGAUCCAGCCAUGCCGCGUGAGUGAAGGAGGCCUUCGGGUUGUAAAGCUCUUUCGGUGGGGAAGAAAUUGCAAGGGCUAAUACCCUGUGUAGAUGACGGUACCUAAAGAAGAAGCACCGGCUAACUACGUGCCAGCAGCCGCGGUAAUACGUAGGGUGCGAGCGUUAAUCGGAAUUACUGGGCGUAAAGCGUGCGCAGGCGGUUGGUAAGUCAGAUGUGAAAUCCCCGGGCUCAACCUGGGAACUGCAUUUGAGACUGCCAAGCUGGAGUUUGGCAGAGGGGGGUGGAAUUCCACGUGUAGCAGUGAAAUGCGUAGAGAUGUGGAGGAACACCGAUGGCGAAGGCAGCCCCCUGGGCCAAUACUGACGCUCAUGCACGAAAGCGUGGGGAGCAAACAGGAUUAGAUACCCUGGUAGUCCACGCCCUAAACGAUGUCAACUAGGUGUUGGGAGGGUUAAACCUUUUAGUGCCGUAGCUAACGCGUGAAGUUGACCGCCUGGGGAGUACGGCCGCAAGGCUAAAACUCAAAGGAAUUGACGGGGACCCGCACAAGCGGUGGAUGAUGUGGAUUAAUUCGAUGCAACGCAAAAAACCUUACCUACCCUUGACAUGUCAGGAAUCCCGGAGAGAUUUGGGAGUGCUCGAAAGAGAGCCUGAACACAGGUGCUGCAUGGCCGUCGUCAGCUCGUGUCGUGAGAUGUUGGGUUAAGUCCCGCAACGAGCGCAACCCUUGUCAUUAAUUGCCAUCAUUCAGUUGGGCACUUUAAUGAGACUGCCGGUGACAAACCGGAGGAAGGUGGGGAUGACGUCAAGUCCUCAUGGCCCUUAUGGGUAGGGCUUCACACGUCAUACAAUGGUCGGUUCAGAGGGUUGCCAACCCGCGAGGGGGAGCCAAUCUCAGAAAGCCGAUCGUAGUCCGGAUCGCAGUCUGCAACUCGACUGCGUGAAGUCGGAAUCGCUAGUAAUCGCGGAUCAGCAUGUCGCGGUGAAUACGUUCCCGAGUCUUGUACACACCGCCCGACACACCAUGGGAGCGGGUUCUGCCAGAAGUAGUUAGCCUAACCGCAAGGAGGGCGAUUACCACGGCAGGGUUCGUGACUGGGGUGGAGUCGUAACAAGGUA